AUUGAAUGCUGGCGGCAUGGCUAAAACAUGCAAGUCGAACGAACCCGCAAGGGUGAGUGGCGAAAGGGUUAGUAAUACGAUCGAAUGUACCCGAGGUGGAGGAUAGCGGGAAGAAAUUUCCGGUAAUACUCCAUGAUGUCUUCGGACCAAAGUUUUGGCGCCUUGGGAGCAGCGAUCGUCCUAUCAGGUAGUUGGCGGGGUAAAAGCCCACCAAGCCUUAGACGGGUAGCGGGUGUGAGAGCACGGCCCGCAACAUCGGAACUGAGACACUGUCCGGACUCCUACGGGAGGCUGCAGUAACGAAUCUUCGCAAUGGGCGCAAGCCUGACGGAGCAAUGCCGCGUGCGGGAUGAAGUAUCUCUGGUAUGUAAACCGCUGUCAGGGGCAGAAACAAUGAUUGCCCCAGAGGAAGUGGCGACUAACUCUGUGCCAGCAGCCGCGGUAAC
rnacentral:rRNA from 1 species